rnacentral:rRNA from 1 species
UGGGGAAUAUUGCACAAUGGGGGGAACCCUGAUGCAGCAACGCCGCGUGAAGGAAGAAGUAUUUCGGUAUGUAAACUUCUAUCGAUAGGGACGAAGGAAAUGACGGUACCUAAAUAAGAAGCACCGGCUAAAUACGUGCCAGCAGCCGCGGUAAUACGUAUGGUGCAAGCGUUAUCCGGAUUUACUGGGUGUAAAGGGUGAGUAGGCGGUUAUGCAAGUCAUAUGUGAAAUGUCGGGGCUUAACCCCGGCGCUGCAUAAGAAACUGUAUAACUAGAGUGCAGGAGAGGCAAGCGGAAUUCCCAGUGUAGCGGUGAAAUGCGUAGAUAUUGGGAAGAACACCGGUGGCGAAGGCGGCUUGCUGGACUGUAACUGACGCUGAGUCACGAAAGCGUGGGGAGC